UUAAGCGAUAACCUCCCUGGUGCCCUCCCCACAGAGUUUUCUCUUGGUCCUGUGGGAGCAUCAGUGUGGUUUGUAGGAAGUGCUCCAGGGGCUUCUAAGGGGAGGCCUGGGUUAAGGAUGUGGCUCCUGGUCCAUUUGUGAGAGCUGAGGCCCAGCUUCAGUCUGAGGAGAGGCAGCAGGGUUGGCCUAGCUGGAUUUGGACUGGGGUAGUCAGUCAGCUCACACGGUCUGUGUGAGCCAAGGGUUAGGAGCUCUCUCUGAGGAGAGAACAAUCAAGAAAUAAGUUCACAGGCUGGUCUCUAGGUAGGAAGUGAUUGUUCCCGAAUCUCUCCUGAGACAGGACAGGGGAGGUGGGCCUUUUCAGCUUUUCAAGGUCCUUCUGUCUGUAGGUGAAGUGGUUGCAGGCUAUAGAGCUGUGCGGAUGCCUUUGAAGGUAUUUUCUCAAGAUGCAGAGGUGUGUUUGCUACAUAACAUCCCGAGAGAAGACAGAGCAGGAGGAAGAAGAGGAGGAAAUGGCAGCUUCUCAGGGAUGGCUGACAUUCCAGGAUGUGGCCGUAGACUUCACCCAAGAGGAGAGGGAGUGCCUGGACCUUGGUCAGCAGGAGUUGACAGGGACGUGAUGUUAGAGAACUAUGGGAACCUGGCCUCCUUGGGACUUGUGUCUCUAAGCCAGACCUGGUCACCUUUCUGGAGCAAAUGAAGGAUUCCAGGAAUAUAAGGAGAAUGGAGACAACACCCAUAUUCCCAGCUGCAUUCUUCUCUACACACCCCGUGUGUGAUGCCAAGAAAUCCAGGCUUCAAAGAUUUAUGUCCAAUAGAAAAACCUAUAAAUAUAUGAAAUAUUUUACCUUGUAAAUUUACAUUUAAUGAAAGACUGGGAACAUACAAGGGCAUGUGAAGGGCAGAGAGGAUGUUAUGAUGGACAUAACCCAUCUGGGACAGUUUCUCAUAAUGUAAACAUUACUGCCAAGAGAAAUCAACUUUGUGAAUCAAACUGGGAAAAACACCAAUUUAAGUCAUUAACAUCUGCAGAGAAGUGUAUGUUUGUCAGCAAAGACCCACAUCGUUUUUUGACAUAUACAUGUUCUCUGAAAGGAACUGUGGAAAAUCUGGAAAGUCAUCUAGUCUCUUCUGCAGAUAAUCAUUCAAACCACUCUAAAUGCAAUAUUCAAUUAAACAUACAUUCAAAUAUGUCUGAAGACCAGAAAUUUAAAAAUGAGGGAAAAGAUUCCCAGUGUAAUCAACUUGAGAGAUCCUUUAGCAAGGGUUCAGUAUUCUUCAAACAACAGAUUUUUUUUCCCUUUUCUAAAAUCUGCAAUGUUGAUAAUAAUGGAAGAGACUUUAUUCAAACAUCAAUGGUCAAUGCAUAUGGGGGUGUAGUUAAUGCGGGACAACUUUUCAUGUGUUGUAAAAUGAGUAAGGCUUUAAGAAAGAGCUCUACCCCCAAUAAUUACAAGAGUCUUUGUGAUGGAGUUAGAAAGUAUUUAUUCAAUGAAACUGGACAUAACAUUGACCAAGGCUCAAGUCUCAUGAAACACCAGGGAAAUCAAUUUUUAGACAAUGAUUCUGGAAGUAAUAAAUGUAGGAAUAUAUUUAUCAAAGAGCAGAUGUUUCUCUGUAUAAAAGUGCGGAUAUUGGAAAGAAGGCUUAUAAUUGUAGUGAAUAUAGUAAUGUUUGUAAUCAGUCUUGUAAACUUAGACAACAGCAGAGUAUUGAGAAUGUGGAGAAACAUUACAAGAGUAACCCAUAUGAGAAAAUAGUCACUAAAUCAUUAAAUCUAAGUAGUCAUAGGAAAAUCCAUACAGAAAGGAAGCCUUUCAAAUGUACAGAGUGUGGCAAAGCCUUUAUCUGUGCCUCGUGUCUUACUCAACAUCAACAAACCCAUACUGGGGAGAGACCUUAUAAAUGUAAGGAAUGUGGCAAAGUCUAUACCUGUUGCUCAAAUCUUACUCAACAUCAGGUAAUUCAUACUGGAGAAAAGCCUUACAGAUGUAGAGAAUGUGGCAAAGCCUUUAAUAGGUGUUCAUAUCUCACUAUGCAUCAGCGAAUUCAUAUAGGGGAUACGCUAUACAAAUGUAGAGAGUGUGCCAAAGCCUUUAUCUGUGGCUCACAUCUUAUUCAACAUCAGCAAAUUCAUACUGAAAAGAAGCCUUAUAAAUGCACAGAAUGUGACAAGUCUUUUAAGCAGCGUGGAAGCCUAACUCAAUGUCAGACAAUUCAUACUGAGGAGAAGCAGUAUAAAUGUACAGAGUGUGGCAAAGCCUUUAAGCACAGCUCAAGUCUUACUCAACAUCAGCGAAUCCAUACUGGAGAGAGACCUUAUAAAUGUAAAUAUUGUGGCAAAGCCUUUAAUUGUAAAUCACAUCUUACUCAACAUAACCAAAUUCAUCCUACAAGGAAGGCUUAUAAAUGUACUGAAUGUGGUAAAGCCUUUAAUCAGAAGUCAAGUCUUUCUAGACAUCAGAUAAUUCAUACUUGGAGAGAAACCUUAUAAAUGUAAGGAUUGUGGCAAAAUCUAACCAAAUUUCAAGCCUUACUCAACAUCAGCAAAUUCACAUUGGGCAGAAAUCAUCCAGAUGCAAAGAAACGUGGCAAAACCUUUACCCAAAGCUCAAGUCUUGGUCAACAUCAGAGAAUUCAUCCUUCAGAGAAACUUAAAAACCUAAACAUAAGGAAAGUGGCAAAGGCUUUAAUCACUCUCACCUCACUCAACAUCAGAGAACACAUAUUGGAGAGAAACUCUAGUAAUAUAAUAAGUGAUGAAAGAGGUUUGUCCUAAAUACACACUUUAGAAAACGUGAGCCUGUGUUUAUACCAGAAAGAUAUGUGAAUGAUGUAAAAACAGAUGUAGGAAAGUAUUUAAUCAAUAAUCAAAUCUAAAUAAGUAUCAGAGAAUGUGUACUAGAAAGCAUUUCGUCAGUUGCCUUCUCUGAAUUCACUCUAAAGGAGAAUUACUGUAUAUGAACUUACGUUUUUGAUGGCUGAUGCCCCAAACAUAAGAGAAGCCCUUGUGUAUUGAGUGGGCAUAAUUUAUAUUUGUUCUUCAUUAGAAGAUUAAGGACACAGGAAUGCAAAAUGUACAGUGAACAUCUAAAUGGAGGCGUUCUGUCAUUGAAGUCUAACAUCCCUGGAGGUCACCAUGAUGUCAGUGAUCAGGGAAUGAUUCUGUGUAUUAAAGUAAGGCAGGUUUGUUCUAAGUUUUCACUAGUUAUGUCACUUGUUUUUUAAGGAUGAAACAACGACAGUUUGCUGAAAUCUUGGUAUAUCUUUAUAAUAUCACCGAAAUCUUGAUGUAUCUUGAUAAUAUCCACAGUUCACUGAAAUCUUGAUGUAUCUUGAUAAUAUCCACAGUUCACUGAAAUCUUGAUGUAUCUUGAUAAUAUCCACAGUUCACUGAAAUCUUGAUGUAUCUUGAUAAUAUCCACAGUUCACUGAAAUCUUGAUGUAUCUUGAUAAUAUCCACAGUUCACUGAAAUCUUGAUGUAUCUUGAUAAUAUCCACAGUUCACUGAAAUCUUGAUGUAUCUUGAUAAUAUCAACAGAAAUAUAUCAAUAAUAACAGUUCACUGAAAUCUUGAUAUAUCUUUGUAGUAUCUUUAUAAUAUCAACAGAAUAUUAGUUGACAUGGCUGAAAUAAUGCCAUCUUCUUUAAUAUCCUAGAAAAGUAUAGGACACCUUUCCUGGAAAGGUCAUAUGAUUAACAUAGGUUCCUGUUUAUGAAACAAUUAGCUUCCAUUCUGUACACCAUAGAAAUACUUUUCUCAGAUAAUUAUAUCAAAGGCAUGAAUAUCUUUCUCUGCUUGUAAUCAGUUAUUUUGAUCAAGGAUCCCACAGUGAACUGUAAAAGGUUUUAUGUCAACUGUAUGUGCUAUUAAUAUAUGUUAAUUAAUAAAACUGAGUGGUCUUUAGUGUUACA